ensembl:lncRNA
GUUGAUCUGAAUAAAUCUCUAGGAGGAGUUCGUUAAAGUACAACGCAUGGAAAUGGCAAAAAAUACACAAAAUUUGCUCAUAAAAUUAAAAAUAACCGACUUCCUGUUGGGAUUUCAGACAUGGUACCCAGAGACUUUUUUGUAGGUAUUGGUGUGAUACAUGUGUGGACCGAUUUUCGUACAUGUACGUGAAACGUAGCUCGAGGCGCACACCGUUGAACAUUUAUAGGUGGCGCUGUUGAGCCAUUUUGCCACACCCUCUUCUGAAACCUAUAUCAGACGUAAAUUUUCACCAGGUCUGACGCGUGUGCAAAGUUUCAUGACUUUUCGAGGAUGUUUAGGCCCUCAAAAAUGCGAUUCAUUUUGGAGAAGAAGAAGAAUAAUAAUAAUUAAAGCUGCAAGCAGCGAUGAACGGGCCCUCGCACCCGGGCUCACCACCACCGGGUGGCUUUUGUAAAAA